rnacentral:rRNA from 1 species
AUCUACCCUAGAGAGUGGGAUAACUCUUCGAAAGAAGAGCUAAUACCGCAUAAGCUCCCGGGCUAUAGAGGCUUGAGAGAAAAGGCUUAGGUUGCUUUAGGAUGAGACUGCGUUCCAUCAGCUAGUUGGUGAGGUAAAAGCUCACCAAGGCGACGACGGAUAGGGGGCCUGAGAGGGUGACCCCCCACACUGGGACUGAGACACGGCCCAGACUCCUACGGGAGGCAGCAGUGAGGAAUAUUGCUCAAUGGGCGAAAGCCUGAAGCAGCAACGCCGCGUGGGCGAAGAAGGUUUUCGGAUCGUAAAGCCCUUUUCUGUGUGACGAGAACGGACGGUAGCACAGGAAUAAGUGUCGGCUAACUACGUGCCAGCAGCCGCGGUAAAACGUAGGACGCAAGCAUUAUCCGGAAUUACUGGGCGUAAAGAGCAAGCAGGCGGUUGGAUAAGUCAAUUAUGAAAGCUCUCGGCUAAACUGGGAGAGGAUAGUUGAUACUGUUCGACUAGAGUUGAGAAGAGGAACGUAGAAUUCCGCGUGUAGUGGUGAAAUGCGUAGAUAUGCGGAGGAAUACCAGAGGCGAAGGCGACGUUCUGGUCUCAAACUGACGCUGAGGUGCGAAAGCAUGGGUAGCGAACGGGAUUAGAAACCCCGGUAGUCCAUGCCGUAAACGAUGUACACUAGACGUCUGGGGAACUGGGUGUCGAAGCAAACGCGAUAAGUGUACCGCCUGGGGAGUACGAUCGCAAGGUUAAAACUCAAAGGAAUUGACGGGGGCCCGCACAAGCAGCGGAGCGUGUGGUU